rnacentral:lncRNA from 1 species
UUAGAAGGCUUGUCUUUCCUACAGUGAAAAAGCUGAAGUUGAUUCUAUUCAACUUAUUACGUGUUGCUCACUUUAUACUUUUUCUGGAGGAAGAGGAAAAGAACAACUGACCCAUUGUUUUCAGAAGAGUAUGUGUUUCUCAUGGGCAAAGGAGAGAAUCCAGAGUGAGAAGCUGAAGAAAGUGCAAAGUCCUGGAUUGGCGUGGUUUCAAAACAUAUGA